rnacentral:rRNA from 1 species
AUUGAACGCUGGCGGCAGGCUUAACACAUGCAAGUCGAGCGAGCGGCGGACGGGUGAGCAAUGUCUCGGAAACUGCCUGAUGGAUGGGGAUCACUACUGGAAACGGUAGCUAAUACCGCAUACCAUCAGAUGGGCCCAGAUGGGUUUAGCUAGUUGGUGGGGUAACGGCUCACCAAGGCGACGAUCCCUAGCUGGUCUGAGAGGAUGACCAGCCACACUGGAACUGAGACACGGUCCAGACUCCUACGGGAGGCAGCAGUGGGGAAUAUUGCACAAUGGGCGCAAGCCUGAUGCAGCCAUGCCGCGUGUGUGAAGAAGGCCUUCGGGUUGUAAAGCACUUUCAGCUGGGAGGCGUUACUCGCAGAAGAAGCACCGGCUAACUCCGUGCCAGCAGCCGCGGUAAUAG